GGCAGUGUGGUAUAAUGGGUAAGUAAGUUGGUCUUGCGACCCAGAGGUUGCAGGUUCAAGUCCCCGCGAGGACACUGCCG
rnacentral:tRNA from 1 species